UACGUAGGGGGCAAGCGUUGUCCGGAAUCAUUGGGCGUAAAGAGCGUGUAGGCGGCCCGGUAAGUCCGCUGUGAAAGUCCAGGGCUCAACCCUGGGAUGCGGGUGGAUACUGUCGGGCUAGAGUCCGGAAGAGGCGAGUGGAAUUCCCGGUGUAGCGGUGAAAUGCGCAGAUAUCAGGAGGAACACCAAUUGCGAAGGCAGCUCGCUGGGACGUUACUGACGCUGAGACGCGAAAGCGUGGGGAGCAAACAGGG
rnacentral:rRNA from 1 species